rnacentral:tRNA from 1 species
GCGGGGGUGCCGGAGCGGUCAAACGGGCGAGAUUUAGGCUCUCGUAGCUUAUGCUUACCUAGGUUCGAAUCCUAGCCCUCGCA